CAGAUCCACAGGUGGGGGUCUGUACCCGAGAGACCACUAUCUUCAGAGAACAGCCCUGGCUGUGACCCGGGAACUUUGCAACUCUGAAUUGUCUCGAAGAGUACUCAACAAAGAGAUCUGUCCCUGGAGACUGCUCUAGGCAGAGGAAGAGGCCGAGGGAGGCAGCGAAUGAAUUCCCAGGUUGUAAAGGAAAGAGAAUGAAGCAUCUUCAACACCUGGAGAGUACCCAGUCAAAGUUUGCUAAGUGAAACAAGCCAGCUUUUACAUGGUCCCUUCUUCCCAGGCUCACCAGCGUCAUGGUUCGGAUGACUUACGCUCUGGAAAUAAAACAUGUCCUGCUGGCUUAAAUCUAGAAUGCUCUCCCAAGGACCCAUGU
rnacentral:lncRNA from 1 species